UCUUGUUUUUUAUUUUUUACUAUUUAUACCCAAUUAUUUUCAGAGGGCUGUUUUGAUUUUAGAACAGUUGUGAAAACAUUUAUGGAGCCUCUAAAACCCAGGGGCUCAAACUGUAUCAUGGCAAUACACAGCAUUAAAACUAAGCAAGGUUGCAACAUUAGGAAAAUACCUCCAGAAAAGACUUGGAAUAAGAAUUCAAUCCAAGACAAACCUUAACCCUGCUCAAACACCCAUAACAUUACAUUUGGUUUAACAAUGAGGUCAACAUGUCGUCUUUAACCAUGUGAAUUUUAACAAAUGUAGGCAAGUUUAACUUAAAUCUACUAAAUGCGUCUUUUCAACAUGCAUAUGCUCUUGUUUUCGAGAUUCAUUUGAACAAGACAAAAAUGUUAGUUAACUUAAAGAGCGGGUUUGCCACAUGUGGACACUUCAUUUUGAUCGUUAGUGUUGGUAAGUAUCAGUAAAUUUUAGAAGUUACAUACGUUCAUGCUCCAAUGUGCUGAUUAAUAAAUGAUCAGAUGUGUGUGAACGCUUCAGUGCUGCGCCGGGCUAAUGUGGAGUUUGUGGAUGCCUACCCUCAGCGUAGUCCUCUGUGGAUGGAUUGUUACGGAAACCCUUAUCAUCGCGGUGCUCUCUAACCGUUGCAGCAGAAGAUCCUUCCAUCUUGGCGUGGUUACUUGCUAGUCUGUGUUAGCCUCACUCUCGCAGGACAGCUCCACUGCUGUUUUAAUUCACCUUCGCGUAUGGAUAUAUAGCCGUCUGAGACGGUGCGAAUAAAGUAGAACACAAAUAAGCGCCUGUUAAUCCAAUCUACUGGUGCGUAAACAUGUAUAACUCAAACACAUAUGCUAUUGCGCGCACCGAUGGACAAAACAAUUAACUACAUAUCACAUGCGCAGUAGACCCAUUGACGUCGAGGCGGAAGUUUGCUCUUCUUCUGUUGCGUUUUUUGGGUUGUCUUUCUACAUUCAACUUCCUCAGUAGAAAUGAAUGCUAAUGGGGGCGAAUGGAGACCCAUCUAAAAUGGCGGCCGGCCGCUACGGCAGCUCCAACGGACAGCGCCAGUCCACGAGGCGUCUAUGAUGAUACCAAUGAGCCGGACCUCAGGGAUGCAGCAGUUGUCCUCCUGACAACCAUCACCGAUGAUGCAGAGAGUCCAGUUACGUACGACCCAGUGAGAAUCUGUUAUCCUAGAGGGUGAUGUGAUUGUCAACCUCUCCAGGCUUCCUGAUGCCUUCCUGGUAAUGUUCGGCCUCAUCUAUGCCUUACAUCUAGAUUAUCCGAAGGGACUGACCAACACAUUUGAGUUCACGCAGAAAAUCUUACUUGGUCUUGAUGAGUCUAAACUGUCACCCAAGCUGCAGAGUCAAAAAUGACCUGAUGUUACAUGUGUAACUCAAAAUCUGAAAGAGUGGUGGAUUCAGAUGGCUCACUCUGUUAGAGCACUGUCCACAUCCACAAUGUAAUUUACUAUUUGUCUGCUCUUUAAUUGUUGAUGUUAAAGUAACACACCACCGUUUGGGCAAAUAUGUUCAUUUUCCACUUCUCCUUGAGUUAACCCUCCCACUGUCCUAAUGGGUAGGACCCCGCGAGGAAAGUUGACCAUUG